rnacentral:tRNA from 1 species
GCCUGGGUGGCUCAGUCCGUUGAGCGUCCGACUUCGGCUCAGGUCGUGAUCUCACGGUCUGUGGGUUCGAGCCCCACGUCGGGCU